UCGUUAGCUCAGUCGGUAGAGCAGUUGGCUUUUAACCAAUUGGUCGUAGGUUCGAAUCCCACACGAC
rnacentral:tRNA from 1 species